rnacentral:tRNA from 1 species
GGCUUCAUAGCUCAGUUGGUUAGAGCGACGCACCAGUAUCACCAGGUCACGGGUUCAAACCCCGUUGAAGUCC